rnacentral:rRNA from 1 species
GUUAGUUGCCAUCAUUCAGUUGGGCACUCUAGCGAGACUGCCGGUAAUAAACCGGAGGAAGGUGGGGAUGACGUCAAAUCAUCAUGCCCCUUAUGACCUGGGCUACACACGUGCUACAAUGGUUGGUACAACGAGUUGCGAGUCGGUGACGGCGAGCUAAUCUCUUAAAGCCAAUCUCAGUUCGGAUUGUAGGCUGCAACUCGCCUACAUGAAGUCGGAAUCGCUAGUAAUCGCGGAUCAGCACGCCGCGGUGAAUACGUUCCCGGGCCUU